CCAACUAAGAAAGGAGAAGUGCUAUUUGAAGUCAAUAGCUUUUGCACGUAUCCAUCACUAGUGAAACAUUCCCCUCUCACUCAACGUCCUUUACCAAUUUAUCUAAAGCCCUAAAUCUUUUUUUCUACUAAUUACUGCACCAUUCACUUUUUCUCACCUUUGAUUCCAUCACCAUGGCUAUGCAAUAUGCUGAUGUUGUAUUUUUUUGUGCAACUGUUUUGGAUGAAAAUCUAAUUUCAAAAUUGAUGAUUGAGUUAUCACAAAGCCGUUUUUAUGUCACUCUGCUCACACAUCCACUGCUCCUUAGGCCUUGCUCCUUGGUUUCUCUCCAGGUUUCUCUAUGUUUCUCUGCUCAUUCUUCUGGCCUCCACUUUAGGUUGUCCUAUUAUGUUUCCCAAUUUUUAGCUGACUUUGUUGCUCUCCAUUAUGUUGAGUUUUCUCUCCAUCUUUCUUUCAUUUGAACCUAUUUGUUGGUAACGAUUAACGAGAAUAUUGUUGGUGUAUAUUGAGUAGUUUUUUUUUA